GAUGAACGCUGGCGGCGUGCCUAAUACAUGCAAGUCGAGCGGACGGACGAGAAGCUUGCUCCUCUGAUGUUAGCGGCGGACGGGUGAGUAACACGUGGAUAACCUACCUAUAAUACUGGGAUAACUUCGGGAAACCGGAGCUAAUACCGGAUGAUAUUUUGAACCGCAUGGUUCAAAAGUGAAAGACGGUUUUGCUGUCACUUAUAGAUGGUGCCGCGCUGGAUUAGCUAGUUGGUAAGGUAACGGCCUACCAAGGCAACGAUGCGUAGCCGACCUGAGAGGGUGAUCGGCCACACUGGAACUGAGACACGGUCCAGACUCCUACGGGAGGCAGCAGUAGGGAAUAUUGCACAAUGGGCGAAAGCCUGACGCAGCAACGCCGCGUGAGUGAUGAAGGUCUUCGGAUCGUAAAGCUCUGUUAUUAGGAAAGAACAGAUGUGUGUGAAACUGUGCACAUCUUGACGGUACCUAAUGAGAAAGCCACGGCUAACUACGUG
rnacentral:rRNA from 1 species